CUUACAUAAAUUAGAAAUAAAAGAUAGUUUCAAUACAGUAUAAUAAUAAUGAGAGAAUAAAAAUGAAUGGAAUUAGUGUUUCUGAAAAAAAACGAUUAGAAUCGUUGAAACAUAAAAAACAAUUUUUAAAGCCAAAGAAUUAGUAGUGCAAAAUGCAUUGAAGAAUUUGGAUAAUAAAUCACAUCAAG